CUCAGUGCUGUCUGGAUGAGAUGCUGUUAAUACAGGGUCCUUCCCUCUACUCACCUCCUCCAGGCCAUGCAGUGAGGCCACGGUGCUGAUGCAUAUAACCUACAGCAAGCGAGCAUGGCAGCUGGCUGCGUGGACUCCGGAGGCGGGAGUACCGGGCUUCAACUCGUAACUCAGCCAGUCGGCUUCUCUGUACCUCAAGUUUCUUCAUCUGUGAAAUGGAGAUAAUCGAAUUUAGUAUUUUGAAAAGAUUGAGUUAAUACAUGUUAAACACA